AGUCCUGUGUGGGAGUGUGAGCUGGGGCGAGUGUGUCCAUCCCUGUUGACCGCACUUUGACACUGACAGGAAGAAGCCGGCCGCUCGCUCCGUAGGAACCUCCUUGCCUGGGGUCCAGUUCUUCCUCUUCACUGCUGGUCAGCCCAAGUGCAGGAACAAGGAACCUGAGAGGCAGCCAGGACUCAUCAGCUGUUUCCCUUGGAAGGGAAACCAUGUUAACUUGGCAACAUCCCAGCCCAUGGACACCAAGGAGUCCUAUCUACAGUCUGCCGUGGUGCUGAAGGCCAGCGAUGAAGGGUGAUUUGUGUGGAAAAACGGGAAGACCAUGAGCAUGGAGGCAGAUGGCCUGUCUGUGCAUGCUGUUGCUGGUGCGGAUUUAGGUACCGUCUGGACCGGAGGCACAUGAAUCUGGUUAAAACUGCUCAUGAGACUGAACUUUGGAAGGCCUAUGCAGAAGGAAAUCACUGGAGGAAAGACUAGAAACAUUAAAGAAAAUGAGGUGAAACCAGUCUGAGUCUCUGUGCUUCUGUUAACUCCAGCUUGCCCUGCAGUUGGACGCUGGCUUGCUGUUUUCUC